AGAGUUUGAUCCUGGCUCAGGAUUAACGCUGGCGGCGUGCAUAACCUAUGCAAGUCGAACGUGCCCAGAAGCGAGCUUUCAGCUUCGGCUGAGGCUGGCGGAGGGAAAGUGGCGCACGGGUGAGUAACACGUAGGCGACCUGCCCCGAUGAGGGGGAUAACUGUUCGAAAGGGCAGCUAAUACCCCAUAUGGUUCGGCAUUCGCUUGCUGGACUAAAGGUUAGGUGAGAGCCUUUCCGCUUCGGGAGGGGCCUGCGGCCGAUUAGCUAGUUGGUGGGGUAAUGGCUCACCAAGGCGAUGAUCGGUAGCUGGUCUGAGAGGACGAUCAGCCACACUGGCACUGACACACGGGCCAGACUCCUACGGGGGGCAGCAAGGGGGAAUAUUGCGCAAUGGGCGAAAGCCUGACGCAGCAACGCCGCGUGGGUGAAGAAGGCCUUCGGGUCGUAAAACCCUUUUCUGGGGGAAGAGGAAGGACGGUACCUCAGGAAUAAGCCUCGGCUAACUACGUGCCAGCAGCCGCGGUAAAACGUAGGAGGCGAGCGUUAUCCGGAUUUACUGGGCGUAAAGGGCGUCUAGGCGGCACCUUAAGUCGGGCGUGAAAGCUCCCGGCUCAACUGGGAGAGGUCGUUCGAUACUGGGGCGCUUGAGGGCAGGAGAGGGAGGUGGAAUUCCCGGUGUAGCGGUAAUAUGCGCAGAUAUCGGGAGGAACACCAGUGGCGAAAGCGGCCUCCUGGCCUGCACCUGACGCUGAAGCGCGAAAGCGUGGGGAGCAAACGGGAUUAGAUACCCCGGUAGUCCACGCCCUAAACGAUGGAUACUAGGUGUUGGUGGUAUUGACCCUAUCAGCGCCGGAGUUAACACGUUAAGUAUCCCGCCUGGGGACUACGAGCGCAAGCUUAAAACUCAAAUGAUUGACGG
rnacentral:rRNA from 1 species